UUGUGAACCCUGGGCUGAGCUGGCUCGGCACAUGUGACGCCCAACGCGGGGCCUGAGUUUGGGGGAACUACAGUUGUCAGGUGAAAGGACGCUCCAGUGAAGCACGUGCAGAAAACAAGAAGGAAGAAGGAGCAGCGCAGCCAAUUUGGGUGCCAGAGCAUUACGUGUGUCACCACAAUGGACCCAGAGAAGCUCCUUGUCCCUUCGCUCAAAAGACUGAGAGUUGCCCAGAUGACAGCAAUACGGAAAAGGAAGA